UUGAUGCUGGUGUUUCUACUCGAGACACAUGUGCUCGCCAGCUGAUGGGGGUUCAUUUUUUAUUACUUUUUUCCACCUGUGCACUAUUGUAGAUGUUGGAGAUCGUAUCUCAAGCGUAAGCUUGGUCUGGAGUUUGCGGGCUUCAUUAAGUUGAAGUCGGCAUUCUCUGUUGAUCUUCACGUCUAUUUUUACAUAUACUCUUAAUAAGUUUAGAAGGACUUGAUUGGGCUUUUAAUGCCUAUAAAUCAAUUAUACAACUUUCAGCAACGGAUCUCUUGGCUCUCGCAUCGAUGAAGAACGCAGCGAAUUGCGAUAAGUAAUGUGAAUUGCAGAAUUCAGUGAAUCAUCGAAUCUUUGAACGCACCUUGCGCUCUUUGGUAUUCCGAAGAGCAUGCCUGUUUGAGUGUCAUUAAAUUCUCAACUCAUUUCAUUUGUUUAUCAAGUGAAAUGCAUGUUGGAUGUGGGGGUUUGCGGGCAUUCAUUAAGUUGAAGUCGGCUCUCCUGAAAUACAUUAGCGGGAACUUAUGUUGGACCGCUUCUAUUGGGUGUGAUAAUUAUCUACGCCUAGGAAGUGUGAGACAGUAACAUACUUUAUUGUGUAUGGGUUCUGCUUCUAAUCGUCCAUUCACUUGGACAAUUACUCUUGACAUUUGACCUCAAAUCAGGU
rnacentral:rRNA from 1 species